GGGGAUGUUUUGGUUUUGACAGCAAAUGACAUUGACCGGUAAGCACGCCGAGAGUCGUGGCCCCUCUCGUAAAUCUCAGACCUCAAGCCAUAACUGGCAACAACAACUUUGCACUCGCUGCGUAGUCUUGAGCUAAGCUCGACUCCUUAAUCG
rnacentral:tmRNA from 1 species